GAAAGGAUUAUGCUAUUUUCUUCCUGAUUGAUUUUAGCAUAUAGUUUCUAAUGGACCGUUGUUUGCUAAAACUUGUAACGGAACAUGGUAGCUCUAUACCCAGAUCUGCCACAAAGUCUGCAGGCCAAUAGCAAAGUGCAAUUAUAGCUAGUUCGAGACUAUUAAAUUGCUGAUUUGUGAGACCAUAAAUGUAAACACCUAAGGCUCCUGAAACAGAACAAUAGCAUGUAGAAGAUGGAAUUCUUUGUGUCUUCAACUUAAUCCACUGAAGUACAAAUGUACCUAUUGCCUUGCCUUUUAGAACUUGAUUUAACCUUCGAAAUAAUCAGACUCCCAAGAAAUGCAAUGACAUUUCUAUAGGUACAAAAGAUAGACUAUCAAGAUUAUUGCCCAUCAUUCAACUGCUAAUUUGUCCUAGGGCUAUACUUUGGGUUCUUAAAUCAAUAUUUUAAGACUGUUGAAGCCACAUGGCAAUGAUAAUAGAAGUGCAAACAUAGCCCCUAGCGCUGCUAUGGGUAUUAACUAUACUAUAUCAUUCUUUUCAGAGCAAGACUACCCAACAGAUGGUAUACACGAGACACUGGCAUUGUUAACCAUGGGGUAACAAUGGUGGGAAAUAAUUGUGUGACCCGAAAAAUUUGUAGUGACAUGCACCGGUGAAUAUACUAGCAAGGUUGUGGAACAGAUACAGUUUGAUGGGCAGCAGCUUGUUCUUAGGAUCUGGAAUAACCAUGAACCAAUCAUCCAGGUACCUACCUGUCUUGGACUCAGUUCCCUGAAGCUGUGACAUUAAAUGCUUGUUGAGGGAACCCAUUUUGAUAAAGCUUGACAGAGAGAAAAACUGCCAGUUUAAACAGUGAGGCAACAGACCUGUUUACCAACUAUUUGCCAAAAAGAUCAGGUGAUGUUAACAA